rnacentral:rRNA from 1 species
CCUACGGGAGGCAGCAGUGGGGAAUAUUGGACAAUGGGGGGAACCCUGAUCCAGCGACGCCGCGUGAGUGAAGAAGUAUCUCGGUAUGUAAAGCUCUGUCAGCAGGGAAGAAAGAAAUGACGGUACCUGACCAAGAAGCCUCGCCUAACUACGUGCCAGCAGCCGCGGUAAUACGUAGGGUGCAAGCGUUAUCCGGAAUUACUGGGUGUAAAGGGAGCGUAGACGGUUAAGUAAGUCAGGAGUGAAAGGCCGGGGCCCAACCCCGGGAGUGCUGUGGAAACUAUUGGACUUGAGUGCAGGAGAGGUAGGCGGAAUGCCUGGUGUAGCGGUGAAAUGCGUAGAUAUUAGGAAGAACACCGGUGGCGAAGGCGGCUUACUGGACUGCAACUGACGUUGAGGCUCGAAAGCGUGGGGAGCAAACAGGAGUAGAUACCCGAGUAGUC